UCGGGAAUUUUGGGCAAUGGGCGAAAGCCUGACCCAGCAACGCCGCGUGAGGGAUGAAGUAUUUCGGUAUGUAAACCUCGAAAGAAUGGGAAGAAUAAAUGACGGUACCAUUUAUAAGCUCCGGCUAACUACGUGCCAGCAGCCGCGGUAAUACGUAGGGAGCAAGCGUUGUUCGGAUUUACUGGGCGUAAAGGGCGCGUAGGCGGCGCGGUAAGUCAGUGGUGAAAUCUUCCGGCUUAACCGGGAAACUGCCGUUGAUACUAUUUGUCUUGAAUAUUGCGGAGGUAAGCGGAAUAUGUCAUGUAGCGGUGAAAUGCUUAGAUAUGACAUAGAACACCAAUUGCGAAGGCAGCUUACUACACAAUCAUUGACACUGAGGCACGAAAGCGUGGGUAGCGAACA
rnacentral:rRNA from 1 species